UUACGGCAAUAUCAAGUUGAAACACCAGUUUUCAUCCGAUCACCGUGGUUAAGCAACGUGGAGCCUGGUCAGUAUCUAGAUGGGUAAAAGCUUGGGAACGUAAGGAGCUGUAAG
rnacentral:rRNA from 1 species